CUUAAGGAAUUGACGGGGCCGCACAAGCGGAGGAGCAUGUGGUUUAAUUCGAUGAUACGCGAGGAACCUUACCUGGGCUCGAACGUAAGAUGACUGUAGGUGAAAGCUUACAUCUCUUCGGAGCAUUUUACGAGGUGCUGCAUGGUUGUCGUCAGCUCGUGCCGUGAGGUGUCGGGUUAAGUCCCAUAACGAGCGCAACCCCUACCUUUAGUUGCCAUCAGGUUAAGCUGGGGACUCUAAAGGAACUGCCUACGCAAGUAGUGAGGAAGGCGGGGAUGACGUCAAAUCAGCACGGCCCUUACGUCCAGGGCUACACACGUGCUACAAUGGCCGAUACAGAGGGCAGCUACCUGGUGACAGGAUGCAAAUCUCCAAAGUCGGUCUCAGUUCGGAUCGGAGUCUGCAACCCGACUCCGUGAAGUUGGAUUCGCUAGUAAUCGCGCAUCAGCCAUGGCGCGGUGAAUACGUUCCCGGGCCUU
rnacentral:rRNA from 1 species